rnacentral:rRNA from 1 species
UUCCCUUCGUGGACAGAGUGACAGGUGGUGCAUGGUUGUCGUCAGCUCGUGUCGUGAGAUGUUGGGUUAAGUCCCGCAACGAGCGCAACCCUUGAUCUUAGUUGCCAGCAUUCAGUUGGGCACUCUAAGGUGACUGCCGGUGACAAACCGGAGGAAGGUGGGGAUGACGUCAAAUCAUCAUGCCCCUUAUGACCUGGGCUACACACGUGCUACAAUGGACAGAACAAAGGGCUGCGAGACCGCAAGGUUUAGCCAAUCCCACAAAUCUGUUCUCAGUUCGGAUCGCAGUCUGCAACUCGACUGCGUGAAGC